UACAGUGUCUCUCACUGAACCUAAAGCUCCCCACUUUUGCUUAGACUACACAAGUGUGAGCACCCCAUCUCCAUCCCUACCCCUGAGAUUGGUUACAUGCAAGGUCUUUUACAUGGGUGUUGAGGAUCAGAACUUAGGUCCAAGUACUAUACCCACAAAACCAUAUCUCCUGCCUCCUUGUUAAACUUUGUUUUAUUGAUUGAUUGAUUGAUUGAUUGAUUGAUUGAUUGAUUGAGACAGGGUCUCUCUAUGUAGUUCUGGCUGUCCUGGAAUUCACUAUGUAGAUCAGGCUGGCUUGAACUCACAGAGAUUUGCCUACCUCAGCCUCCCAAGUACUAGGAUUCAAGUUGUUCACCACCAUGCCCAGCUGUAUGCUUAUCUUUUAAAUAUUCAUGAUGCUUAAAUUAGACUCUUAAGAGAUGACAGAGCUAUUUUUGAAGAGUCAUUAAAAAUACAAGAAUUAAGAAUUAGAGAGAAAAGUUUGCAUCAGGUGUUUUGCUUUUGUCAUUAAAUAACAAGAAAUGAAAUUUGGUGACCCAUGGAGUCAGAGUUUGGCUGAUGCCAAGAAAGAGGCAGUUCCUGACAAACACGGAGUUUUUGGGAGCUGUGGAGAAAGAGGUUGAGUAUGAGGCUCCAGCUUUGAGGCUGCCUCUCUCCUCUUCCACAGGUUCAGAAUACUCAGGGAAAGCAGAAAGAGGACCCCAGGGUAAAGCGGCCUGGCCCGGAAAAGAUAGCACCUCAAAGAGGUGCUGGCUCAGAAGGAGGAGCCACAGAGACCAAAUGGCAGCGAGGCUGAGUUAGGGAGUGAAGAGUUCAUAUCUCUGAGCCCAAACCCUCUCUACUCCCCACUAACCACUAGCCCUCAGCUCCAACCUACUUCUAUACACUCUCUGAUAACAAUGAAGCAGGCACUCGGUCAAGUCUGUCUCCAUUUUUCUAGCCAAAUCUCUAGUAGGCUCUGCCUUCCGUGGGCACUGGAGCUUGUCAGGCUGAAGGAAGAAGGGGGCCUCUCCAUUCCUGCCAACAGCAGCCCCUCAUCCUGACUAUGACGAUUGAUUCCAUUACACCUUGCUUCCUGAGCCAGCUUGCCCUCCCGUAUUGCCAAACCAGCCCUGUGAAGGCCUUAGGGCCCUGGGUUCCUGCUUCUGGGCUCUUAGCACUACCUUCUGCUCUUCUGGCUCCCAGUUUCUUGGAGUGACAUGUCUCCUGCAGUGUACCAUCUCUGAUGAUCUCACUCUUUUCCAGUUAUCCAAAGCUGGGUGCUUAAUUCCUUAUGUUAAAUCCUCUUUCUUAGCUGACCUUGGUAGUAAACUCUUAUAACCCAGCCCAUAGGAGCCUGACGCAGAUGGAGCCCAGCCUGGGUUACACAGGGAGAACCUGCCUCAACAAAUACAAUCAGUGUGAUUUGUUUUCUUGAUAUAACUGUGACCCACUCCCUUGGUGGGUCAUAAUUAAAUUUGAGAAGUUUCUAGCAGAGCACCAUCAUCAGAUAAGAUGUGACCAUGAGUGACCUGUGGUCAUGAGGCAGGCAUAGCUACAGCCUUGAAAAUGUGACUGUAUUGUAAGCUUCAGCUAUGACACACAUUAAGACCCAAAACCAGGCUGGACCAGUUACAUCAGCAGAAAAGCUGAUACACAAGACAGACUAGGGUAAGACACCCAGCAGGGCCUUGGCACCCAGAAACCUAGUUGGCCCCCAGACUGUUCACAAUGUAUAAGACCCCUCAGAUACCAGGUGUCACCCUGGAUUAGGGUCAGCCACCACUGACAGAUGAGAAGUCUGAUGAUGACUUACGGUCCUGGAUUGACAGUUGUUCAAAGUAAAAGUCAAUACGGUUGCUUAAAUUUUGUUGUUUAAAUGUAAUUUCAGCUUGACAGCAGAGCUGUAAGAAUAGUGUUACCUUCUCUCCCAGUCCCCCCUUCCCCGCCCCCGCAGAGUCAUCCUGUUACCUUUGUUUCAUGCUGAUGUGUGAGCACACACUUUCCAGAAAUGUGGAUUUUGUUCUGUUUGGUGUGUGUGUGUGUGUGUGUGUGUGUGUGUGUGUGUGUGUGUGUGUAUCGGUUCUUGCCCUCCUCCAUGGUUCAUCAAAUUCACACUCAGUCAUCAGGUUUGUUAGCAAGCUCCUUUGCCUGCUGAGCACUCCUGCUAGCCCUUCUUGAAAUUUAAAAGUUGUUAAGAGAAUAUCUUUUUAUCAUUAAAUAAAUGGGAGAGGUGGCUUAGCAGCUAAGAGCACUUGUUGCUCCUGCAAAGGAUCCGGGUUCAGAUCCUAGCACCUAUAUGGUGGUUCACAGCCAUCUGUAACUGCAGUUCCAGGGCACCCAAUGCCCUCUUCUGACUUCCCAGGUUGCCAGGCACACAGACAAUGUGCAUAUAUACAUUUGUGCAAAGCAUUCAUACACAUAGAAUGAAUAAACACAAAAAGAAAAUUUAAAAAUACCUCAAUAUGUAUUUCCCCUAAAAGACUGUCCGUCUCCUAUAUAACCACGCACAACCAUCAGAACUGGAGAGUGUAGGCCAGGAGGUGGCUCCACAGACCAAGCCCUUGCUGCCAAGCUUGACCUGAGUUCACCCAGGUAAAAGUGUAAGGAGAGAAGCAACUCUGUCACAUUGUCCUCUGACCUCCACAUGUGUGCUGCUGCGUGUGCUAACCAGCACUCACACAUCGCACACACAUGCUGCUGCAUGUGCUAAACAGCACUCACACAUCGUACACACACACAAUAAUAAUAAAUAAACUUGGAAAAAAUUAACUAGGUGCAAUUAAUCCCAGCACUCAGGAGGCAGAGGCAGAGGCAGAAGGAUCUCUGUUAGUUCAAGGACAGCCUGUGUCUACAGAGUGAGUUCAAGGACAGCCAGAACUAUAGAAAAAGACCCAGCCACAAAAGAAAUAGAUACUUUGUCAUUAUAUGAUAUAAUAGAUCUACACAUUUACUUCAGAUCGUACCAAUUGUCCCCAUAUAUCCUUCGGAACAAAACAAAGCAAGCAAAGGAAAAUAAAUGCAAGAUGAUCUAUAGCAUUUAGCUGUCACAAACAAUAAAUUUUAACCCAGAAAUAGAUCAGGGGAGGAGUUACUACUCCAUUUUUCUCUGCAAAUCCUGCAGUGUGGGGGCUGGCCCACUGUGUUAGUGACUGAUACAGUAACACAGCUGGGACAUGGCUAGGUUGGGAAGGUACUCAGCUAGCGCUAACCUGGGGUUCCAUCUUUAUCACCACGUAAACUAGGAGUGGGGAAGCCCAGCAGUAGAAGGUGGAAGUCAGAGGGAAGAGAAUCAGAAGUGCAAGGUUGGGCUGGAGAGAUGGCUCAGCGGUUAAGAAUACUGACUGCUCUUCCGGAGGUCCUGAGUUCAAAUCCCAGCAACCACAUGGCAGCUCACAGCCAUCCUUAAUGAGAUCUGACUCCCUCUUCUGGUGUGUCUCAAGACAGUGACAGUGUACUUACAUCUAA
rnacentral:lncRNA from 1 species